UUUUUUUUUUUCCCCAGGCUUUCAAUCACCUCUCAAACAGACGAAUAUUCCCCUUGGAGGCUGCUGUGCCCUGUGCGCUUGAGAGCCUGGCAGGUGACCCCGUUGGAGAGAGGAGGGCAGUUGUGAGCAGGCAGCCCCCAGGAAAACAUGGGAGUUUCAGUGGUUUCUGGAGUCUGAGGAACGGGGAGAAGCCCUGAGCUAAGCAGGAGUUAAGCACAGUCAUGCAGAGGCCUGGUUGCUACGAUUGAAGGUCGCUUAGUGAAUAUCGAUAGUUUCUAUAGGUAUUUUUAUAUCUAUAGAAAGGUAAAAAGUAAAAGUAGAAUAUAGAGCAUUGUGCAGGAGAAAAAGAACUUUUUAUGUAAGAUGUGACCUGUGGGGCAUCAUGCCAGGCUAUCCCUUCCAGGUUUGGAAGGAUUCAGUGUUUUGUAUGGCAUGACGGAGAGUUUUGAAAAAUGAGAUUUGCUCUUCAGUGCAGGUCGGAUGGGUGAGGCCUGGCAGCUUGUGCAUUGCCACUGUGCUAACCUGUGUGCCUCUCCUUCCCUCCCUGCUCCACAGGCACAACCCGGGAGCAGCAGGGAGAGGUGGGUUCGUCGUGGAGGAUCCAGGAGCUCGGUGUGCGUGUCUGAGCCUGCAGUUCCAAGGUGCAGCAGGACCCAAGGUCUGCACACACCCAUGUACAGCACUUGUAAACAGCGUUAACGUGAAGAUAACGCGUGCAGGGAGUGUGCCGUGGGUUACCACAAGCGAUGAAGGAUUUUGGGACGGUGCCAAGGCAGUUUCCCCCUCAGCGCACUGGUUUUUUUCCGGAAGAAUUACGCGAGAGCGGAAAAGUUGCAAUGGCAUCGCAGUUCCCUGCUCAGAAAAUGCCCAGGGAGUAAAGCACGGCCAAGUGGUGCCAUUCAACUGCGCCACAGCUGGGAGCAUCAGGUUCAUUCCUGUUGUAAUCCUCAAAUGGCAAAACAGCGUUGCUCUUUAUUAAAAACAAUUUUGCUCUCAGAAUGUUGAUGGAGGUGAUGAUUGCAGGGGCGACGAUUGUGAAGAAUAACUCCCUCAUCUUCCCCAGGGCCCGGGCAGAGAGAGGUGGAGCUCGGAGUCCCCCCGAUCCUCCCGCGGGCGUUGGCGUCUGCAGCGCCAUCGGGACGGGAUCCACGUCCCGGCUCCUUCCUCCAGAGGCCGAAAGCUCAGCCGACAGUUUCAUGCAGGAUAGUCACCUUUCCAAGGCAAUAGAAGCACUUGCCAAGAGCGGCUGGUGAAGAUGGCUCAGAAGCAAUGGCAGGAGUGCAGUGAAAAGUCUGGUCCAUCGAUCCGGCUUCCGGACACGGUAGGGAAGACGCGCCUUUUGAUAAAACACCAAACACUAGUAGUUUUCAUUCUUUGUGUUUUUCU
rnacentral:lncRNA from 1 species